UACGUAGGGGGCGAGCGUUGUCCGGAUUUAUUGGGCGUAAAGGGCGUGUAGGCGGCUUCAUAAGUCAGAGGUGAAACCUUGGGGCUCAACCCCAAGCCUGCCUCUGAAACUGCGAAGCUUGAGUGCUCUAGAGGGUAGUGGAAUUGCCGGUGUAGCAGUGAAAUGCGUAGAGAUCGGCAGGAACACCAGUGGCGAAGGCGACUACCUGGGGAGUAACUGACGCUGAGGCGCGAAAGCUGGGGGAGCAAACGGG
rnacentral:rRNA from 1 species